rnacentral:sRNA from 1 species
UAUCAGAUCAUGACAGUGUGGUCGCGUAGAGCAAUCUAGGCAUGGUUCAGUUUUACUUCAAUUUCAUUGACUACGCAACAGACAACUAGCAACGAGGGCACUGAGUUUAUCCGGUGAACCAAAAU